GAUGAACGCUGGCGGCGUGCCUAAUACAUGCAAGUCGAGCGAACGGACGAGAAGCUUGCUUCUCUGAUGUUAGCGGCGGACGGGUGAGUAACACGUGGAUAACCUACCUAUAAGACUGGGAUAACUUCGGGAAACCGGAGCUAAUACCGGAUAAUAUUUUGAACCGCAUGGUUCAAAAGUGAAAGACGGUCUUGCUGCCACUUAUAGAUGGAUCCGCGCUGCAUUAGCUAGUUGGUAAGGUAACGGCUUACCAAGGCAACGAUGCAUAGCCGACCUGAGAGGGUGAUCGGCCACACUGGAACUGAGACACGGUCCAGACUCCUACGGGAGGCAGCAGUAGGGAAUCUUCCGCAAUGGGCGAAAGCCUGACGGAGCAACGCCGCGUGAGCGAUGAAGGUCUUCGGAUCGUAAAACUCUGUUAUUAGGGAAGAACAUAUGUGUAAGUAACUGUGCACAUCUUGACGGUACCUAAUCAGAAAGCCACGGCUAACUACGUG
rnacentral:rRNA from 1 species